UUUCUCCCCUCAACCUCAUCAUAAAUCCUAGCCACCUAAAUCUCUAUCUCUCAUGUCACCUUCGAUCAAAUCACCGUCGUUCAACUCAUUAUCGGUGACUGCUCUUAGACUGAUAAGUCAUAUUUUUUUUAUCACUGUAGCCUAUUAUUUUUGGGGGUCGAUUGUCUCCGUGAGCCAGAGGGCGGUGGAGUUGGAUGGGGCUGCAUUGGGGUGC
rnacentral:lncRNA from 1 species